UUGUAAUGAUAAACCAAAUGAACAAGGUGUGUGAUGUGUGUGUAACUGUAUACUUAAUUUUACAGCUGUGUGUGAUCAUUCCAAAUUUCCAGAUAAUAGGAGAAAAUUUUGUGUGUGUGUGUGUGUGUGUGUGUGCGCGCGCGCUAUUAUCACUAG